UUUCUGAAUAAAAUGUUAAAAAUAACACUAAAACUAACAAAAGAUAUGUUUUUCAAAUAAUAUUGUGUGUUAUUUUAAAGUCAUAACUUUUUACCAGGUUUAUACUAAUAAAAAUAUAUUUUUAUAGCUUUCUGUUGGUGGAAGAAUUAAAAAAAUAUGUUGAUAGUUAUAAAAAAAAACUUUAAUAGUUUCAUACUCAUCAUCAAGUAAUUCAGAAAUUAAACAAAAUGUAAUAAGUAAACAAGGAAAUACCUUUUCUGGAUUUCUAAUAAGCUCUGAUGUCACCAUAGUGGGGCAAAAUGAUGUUACUCCAUGGCUUAAUAAUUCUUUUGCCACUUUAUUAACUCCUUCUUUUACACUUUCGGAAUCGUAGGAAAAGUCUACUCCCCAUCCACCUAAAAACAAAAUAUACAAUAAAUAAAAAUAUUAUAUCUAAACUAUUAAA